AUUCCAGAUCCAAGAUUGGAAAGAUGAAGACAAACACAGUCUUUCUGCUCCUGGGUGUAGUUCUGUGUCUGGCGCUGGUAAGUCAAGCUAACGAAGUAACAGUACCCUGUAAUCAGCCUAAUGUAAUUUAUAAAACGUGCGGCACGGCUUGUCCAAUCACAUGUGCAAAUAUGAACCACC